UACGUAGGGUCCGAGCGUUGUCCGGAAUCAUUGGGCGUAAAGAGCGUGUAGGCGGCUUGGUAGGUCACGUGUUAAAGCCUGCGGCUCAACCGCAGAAUCGCACGUGAAACCACCUGGCUAGAGUCCGGAAGAGGAGAGCGGAAUUCCUGGUGUAGCGGUGAAAUGCGCAGAUAUCAGGAAGAACACCUAUGGCGAAGGCAGCUCGCUGGGACGUUACUGACGCUGAGACGCGAAAGCGUGGGGAGCAAACAGG
rnacentral:rRNA from 1 species